UGAGCUCUUCAAGCGGAAACGGGCUACCAUUAUCCGGGAACGGUCACGGCGCAAGUGCUGGAAUAGACUCUUGGGGAUCUGGUUCAGGAACCGGAGGCAGUGGCGGGAGUGGUGAUCCCUGAAAUGCAGCGUCGGUUGGAGACAGUGACGGGAGCGCUUCAGUUUGCGGGAUGGACGCAUGAGGAGCUAUUAACGUCGCGGCAUCAACCCGAUGUUUCCGGUAGUUAGUGGAAGCGGUAAUGGCGGCUGCACGGGCCCGUUCUGUAUGGGCGCCAGAAAUGGCGGCAGUGGAGGAGCCAGAAGUGGCGGUGGGAUGAUGGGCGGACCCAGGGGAGUGAGAGGAUUUAACUGACCCUGAAGCAAAACGGGUUUGAUUCAGAACAAGUGUUUGGAUUGUAGUGAAUUUCAUAACCAGGCCAGCCAAGUUUUAUUCACUGUUCAGCAUCCCCAUGAUGUUUUAUAAACUCGCAUGUAAGAAUUCAAAAGUCGUUAAUAUACUGUUAUUAAACAGUUUUACCAUGUAUACUUCUAAUAGUUGUACAUUUUUACCAUAUUUAUUUCGAACAGUUGGGUUAUGUAACCCAUAACCCUUUGUAAGACCCGCCCCUUCUUGCAUUUGUGAUUUUUUUCUAUAUGUCAUCACUCUUCUGAACAAUUGAAAAAUACAGGGGCUUUUGGUGGUUUAAUUUUAAUUUGAAUUAUUGAUAUGAAAUCAACAUUUAACUUAUAUGUAAUAUAAUUAUCUGUUGAAAUGUAUAU